rnacentral:snRNA from 1 species
GUGCUUGCUUCAGCAGCACAUAUACUAGAAUUGGAAAGAUACAGAGAAGAUUAGUAUGGCCCCUGCACAAGGAUGACACACAAGUUCGUGAAGUGUUCCAUAUUUUU